UGGGCGUUAAGUUGCAGGGUAUAGACCCGAAACCCGGUGAUCUAGCCAUGGGCAGGUUGAAGGUUGGGUAACACUAACUGGAGGACCGAACCGACUAAUGUUGAAAAAUUAGCGGAUGACCUGUGGCUGGGGGUGAAAGGCCAAUCAAACCGGGAGAUAGCUGGUUCUCCCCGAAAGCUAUUUAGGUAGCGCCUCGUGAAUUCAUCUCCGGGGGUAGAGCACUGUUUCGGCUAGGGGGCCAUCCCGGCUUACCAACCCGAUGCAAACUGCGAAUACCGGAGAAUGUUAUCACGGGAGACACACGGCGGGUGCUAACGUCCGUCGUGAAGAGGGAAACAACCCAGACCGCCAGCUAAGGUCCCAAAGUCAUGGUUAAGUGGGAAACGAUGUGGGAAGGCCCAGACAGCCAGGAUGUUGGCUUAGAAGCAGCCAUCAUUUAAAGAAAGCGUAAUAGCUCACUGGUCGAGUCGGCCUGCGCGGAAGAUGUAACGGGGCUAAACCAUGCACCGAAGCUGCGGCAGCGAACGUAUCACCCAAGACAACUUUACGGAGUUGACGAUUGACGGAGCGAAGCGACGUCAAAGCGUUCAUUAAAGUCGAGUUGGCUUAGGGAUACGUUCGUUGGGUAGGGGAGCGUUCUGUAAGCCUGUGAAGGUGUGUCGUGAGGCAUGCUGGAGGUAUCAGAAGUGCGAAUGCUGACAUAAGUAACGAUAAAGCGGGUGAAAAGCCCGCUCGCCGGAAGACCAAGGGUUCCUGUCCAACGUUAAUCGGGGCAGGGUGAGUCGACCCCUAAGGCGAGGCCGAAAGGCGUAGUCGAUGGGAAACGGGUUAAUAUUCCCGUACUUGGUGUUACUGCGAAGGGGGGACGGAGAAGGCUAUGUUGGCCGGGCGACGGUUGUCCCGGUUUAAGCGUGUAGGUGUGUGUUCCAGGUAAAUCCGGUUCACUUUAACACUGAGGCGUGACGACGAGGCACUACGGUGCUGAAGCAACAAAUGCCCUGCUUCCAGGAAAAGCCUCUAAGCAUCAGGUAACAUCAAAUCGUACCCCAAACCGACACAGGUGGUCAGGUAGAGAAUACCAAGGCGCUUGAGAGAACUCGGGUGAAGGAACUAGGCAAAAUGGUGCCGUAACUUCGGGAGAAGGCACGCUGACACGUAGGUGAAGUGAUUUACUCAUGGAGCUGAAGUCAGUCGAAGAUACCAGCUGGCUGCAACUGUUUAUUAAAAACACAGCACUGUGCAAACACGAAAGUGGACGUAUACGGUGUGACGCCUGCCCGGUGCCGGAAGGUUAAUUGAUGGGGUCAGCGCAAGCGAAGCUCCUGAUCGAAGCCCCGGUAAACGGCGGCCGUAACUAUAACGGUCCUAAGGUAGCGAAAUUCCUUGUCGGGUAAGUUCCGACCUGCACGAAUGGCGUAAUGAUGGCCAGGCUGUCUCCACCCGAGACUCAGUGAAAUUGAACUCGCUGUGAAGAUGCAGUGUACCCGCGGCAAGACGGAAAGACCCCGUGAACCUUUACUAUAGCUUGACACUGAACAUUGAGCCUUGAUGUGUAGGAUAGGUGGGAGGCUUUGAAGUGUGGACGCCAGUCUGCAUGGAGCCGACCUUGAAAUACCACCCUUUAAUGUUUGAUGUUCUAACGUGGACCCGUAAUCCGGGUUGCGGACAGUGUCUGGUGGGUAGUUUGACUGGGGCGGUCUCCUCCUAAAGAGUAACGGAGGAGCACGAAGGUUGGCUAAUCCUGGUCGGACAUCAGGAGGUUAGUGCAAUGGCAUAAGCCAGCUUGACUGCGAGCGUGACGGCGCGAGCAGGUGCGAAAGCAGGUCAUAGUGAUCCGGUGGUUCUGAAUGGAAGGGCCAUCGCUCAACGGAUAAAAGGUACUCCGGGGAUAACAGGCUGAUACCGCCCAAGAGUUCAUAUCGACGGCGGUGUUUGGCACCUCGAUGUCGGCUCAUCACAUCCUGGGGCUGAAGUAGGUCCCAAGGGUAUGGCUGUUCGCCAUUUAAAGUGGUACGCGAGCUGGGUUUAGAACGUCGUGAGACAGUUCGGUCCCUAUCUGCCGUGGGCGCUGGAGAACUGAGGGGGGCUGCUCCUAGUACGAGAGGACCGGAGUGGACGCAUCACUGGUGUUCGGGUUGUCAUGCCAAUGGCACUGCCCGGUAGCUAAAUGCGGAAGAGAUAAGUGCUGAAAGCAUCUAAGCACGAAACUUGCCCCGAGAUGAGUUCUCCCUGAGACUUAGAGUCUCCUGAAGGAACGUUGAAGACGACGACGUUGAUAGGCC
rnacentral:rRNA from 1 species